GUGCUCGCUUUGGCAGCACAUAUACUAAAAUUGGAACGACACAGAGAAGAUUAGCAUGGCCCCUGCACAAGGAUGACACGCAAAUUCGUGAAGCGUUCCAUAUUAAA
rnacentral:snRNA from 1 species